rnacentral:lncRNA from 1 species
UUUACUAACUAGUGUUGUUAGGAUUGUAGUUGUAAAUUUAUGGUAAAUGUUUGUUUUUAUCAUUUUUUGGAGAUUUGUUUGGUUAGAUAUGGCGAGGGGGAGUCUUUAGGGAAAUUCUGGUGGUAAUGAUAAUGGAGAAGGUAUGAAGAGUGCUUGUAGUGCUCGGCCGUUGAGGGUUCCCUUUCUAGGUGAUGUGUUCUG